rnacentral:rRNA from 1 species
GGGGAGCCGAAGGGAAACCGAGUCUUAACUGGGCGUUAAGUUGCAGGGUAUAGACCCGAAACCCGGUGAUCUAGCCAUGGGCAGGUUGAAGGUUGGGUAACACUAACUGGAGGACCGAACCGACUAAUGUUGAAAAAUUAGCGGAUGACUUGUGGCUGGGGGUGAAAGGCCAAUCAAACCGGGAGAUAGCUGGUUCUCCCCGAAAGCUAUUUAGGUAGCGCCUCGUGAAUUCAUCUCCGGGGGUAGAGCACUGUUUCGGCAAGGGGGUCAUCCCGACUUACCAACCCGAUGCAAACUGCGAAUACCGGAGAAUGUUAUCACGGGAGACACACGGCGGGUGCUAACGUCCGUCGUGAAGAGGGAAACAACCCAGACCGCCAGCUAAGGUCCCAAAGUCAUGGUUAAGUGGGAAACGAUGUGGGAAGGCCCAGACAGCCAGGAUGUUGGCUUAGAAGCAGCCAUCAUUUAAAGAAAGCGUAAUAGCUCACUGGUCGAGUCGGCCUGCGCGGAAGAUGUAACGGGGCUAAACCAUGCACCGAAGCUGCGGCAGCGACGCUGAUGCGUUGUUGGGUAGGGGAGCGUUCUGUAAGCCUGCGAAGGUGUGCUGUGAGGCAUGCUGGAGGUAUCAGAAGUGCGAAUGCUGACAUAAGUAACGAUAAAGCGGGUGAAAAGCCCGCUCGCCGGAAGACCAAGGGUUCCUGUCCAACGUUAAUCGGGGCAGGGUGAGUCGACCCCUAAGGCGAGGCCGAAAGGCGUAGUCGAUGGGAAACAGGUUAAUAUUCCUGUACUUGGUGUUACUGCGAAGGGGGGACGGAGAAGGCUAUGUUGGCCGGGCGACGGUUGUCCCGGUUUAAGCGUGUAGGCUGGUUUUCCAGGCAAAUCCGGAAAAUCAAGGCUGAGGCGUGAUGACGAGGCACUGCGGUGCUGAAGCAACAAAUGCCCUGCUUCCAGGAAAAGCCUCUAAGCAUCAGGUAACAUCAAAUCGUACCCCAAACCGACACAGGUGGUCAGGUAGAGAAUACCAAGGCGCUUGAGAGAACUCGGGUGAAGGAACUAGGCAAAAUGGUGCCGUAACUUCGGGAGAAGGCACGCUGAUAUGUAGGUGAAGUCCCUCGCGGAUGGAGCUGAAAUCAGUCGAAGAUACCAGCUGGCUGCAACUGUUUAUUAAAAACACAGCACUGUGCAAACACGAAAGUGGACGUAUACGGUGUGACGCCUGCCCGGUGCCGGAAGGUUAAUUGAUGGGGUUAGCGCAAGCGAAGCUCUUGAUCGAAGCCCCGGUAAACGGCGGCCGUAACUAUAACGGUCCUAAGGUAGCGAAAUUCCUUGUCGGGUAAGUUCCGACCUGCACGAAUGGCGUAAUGAUGGCCAGGCUGUCUCCACCCGAGACUCAGUGAAAUUGAACUCGCUGUGAAGAUGCAGUGUACCCGCGGCAAGACGGAAAGACCCCGUGAACCUUUACUAUAGCUUGACACUGAACAUUGAGCCUUGAUGUGUAGGAUAGGUGGGAGGCUUUGAAGUGUGGACGCCAGUCUGCAUGGAGCCGACCUUGAAAUACCACCCUUUAAUGUUUGAUGUUCUAACGUUGACCCGUAAUCCGGGUUGCGGACAGUGUCUGGUGGGUAGUUUGACUGGGGCGGUCUCCUCCUAAAGAGUAACGGAGGAGCACGAAGGUUGGCUAAUCCUGGUCGGACAUCAGGAGGUUAGUGCAAUGGCAUAAGCCAGCUUGACUGCGAGCGUGACGGCGCGAGCAGGUGCGAAAGCAGGUCAUAGUGAUCCGGUGGUUCUGAAUGGAAGGGCCAUCGCUCAACGGAUAAAAGGUACUCCGGGGAUAACAGGCUGAUACCGCCCAAGAGUUCAUAUCGACGGCGGUGUUUGGCACCUCGAUGUCGGCUCAUCACAUCCUGGGGCUGAAGUAGGUCCCAAGGGUAUGGCUGUUCGCCAUUUAAAGUGGUACGCGAGCUGGGUUUAGAACGUCGUGAGACAGUUCGGUCCCUAUCUGCCGUGGGCGCUGGAGAACUGAGGGGGGCUGCUCCUAGUACGAGAGGACCGGAGUGGACGCAUCACUGGUGUUCGGGUUGUCAUGCCAAUGGCACUGCCCGGUAGCUAAAUGCGGAAGAGAUAAGUGCUGAAAGCAUCUAAGCACGAAACUUGCC